ensembl:lncRNA
CUUAGGAUGUGUCCAGAGAAGGUGGACCUGAGGACCCAGAGUCAGCUCGUGAGGCUGCGCCUGACCAGCAGCAGCUUCACAUGCUUGACUGCAUACUGCAACACAAGAGCCAGGCUGUCCUUCACAUAGCUGCAAGGAGCUGUCAACAACCACCCUGGAAGGUUUGUUGUAAUAUGCUGCAUGUGAAAGUGCAGACAACCAGAUCGUCCAUCCUCUUCUCAUUUGGAGUGUGCGUGAAACCCCGAGAUGAAGAAAAGCAGUGUUGUUUCUUUUUCCCUUGUGAUCGCCUCAGAAACGCCCCUCCUGCCAAGGGCACAGAUCUUCCCCUUGCUACCUCCUUCCCAGUCAGCAGUGGGAGAGAUGGUCUUCGUGUGAAGGCCAGGGUCACUGCAGGAGCACAGA